GUAGAUUAUCUGCCCUCGGGUCCGGGAUAGCUGCGGGAAACUGCAGGUAAUACCGGAUAACAUCUCCGGAUCAAAGGUGUGAUUCCGCCCGAGGAUGAGUCUACAUCCUAUUAGCUAGUUGGUAGGGUAAUGGCCUACCAAGGCUUUGAUGGGUAGCAGGUGUGAGAGCACGACCUGCGUCAUUGGGACUGAGACACUGCCCAGACACCUACGGGUGGCUGCAGUCGAGAAUCUUCGGCAAUGGGCGCAAGCCUGACCGAGCGACGCCGCGUGUGGGAUGAAGGCCUUCGGGUUGUAAACCACUGUCAGAGGGGAUGAAAUGCGGGUGGGUUCUCCCAUUCGUUUGACAUAGCCUCAGAGGAAGGACGGGCUAAGUUCGUGCCAGCAGCCGCGGUAAGACGAACCGUCCAAACGUUAUUCGGAAUCACUGGGCUUAAAGGGUGCGUAGGCGGCGCGGAAAGUUGGGUGUGAAAUCCCUCGGCUUAACCGAGAAACUGCGCCCAAAACUUCCGUGCUC
rnacentral:rRNA from 1 species